rnacentral:rRNA from 1 species
UACGAAGGGGGCUAGCGUUGCUCGGAAUUACUGGGCGUAAAGCGCACGUAGGCGGGUCGUUAAGUCGGGGGUGAAAUCCUGGAGCUCAACUCCAGAACUGCCUUCGAAACUGACGAUCUUGAGUUCGGGAGAGGUGAGUGGAACUGCGAGUGUAGAGGUGAAAUUCGUAGAUAUUCGCAAGAACACCAGUGGCGAAGGCGGCUCACUGGCCCGAUACUGACGCUGAGGUGACGAAAGCGUGGGGAGCAAACAGG